rnacentral:miRNA from 1 species
UGUGUUUUCCUCAACGCUCACAGUUAACACUUCUCACUCUCAAUCCAUUCAUAUUGAAAAUGAUGAGUAGUGACUGAUGAGGUACAGAUCAGCCA